UUGCUUUGGCGGCUUCGGCCGCCAAAGGACCUUCAAACUCCAGUCAGUAAACGCAGACGUCUGAUAAACAAGUUAAUAAACUAAAACUUUCAACAACGGAUCUCUUGGUUCUGGCAUCGAUGAAGAACGCAGCGAAAUGCGAUAAGUAAUGUGAAUUGCAGAAUUCAGUGAAUCAUCGAAUCUUUGAACGCACAUUGCGCCCCUUGGUAUUCCGGGGGGCAUGCCUGUUCGAGCGUCAUUACAACCCUCAAGCUCUGCUUGGAAUUGGGCACCGUCCUCACUGCGGACGCGCCUCAAAGACCUCGGCGGUGGCUGUUCAGCCCUCAAGCGUAGUAGAAUACACCUCGCUUUGGAGCGGUUGGCGUCGCCCGCCGGACGAACCUUCUGAACUUUUCUCAAGGUUGACCUCGGAUCAGGUAGGGAUACCCGCUGAACUUAAGCAUAUCAAUAAGCGGAGGAAAAGAAACCAACAGGGAUUGCCUUAGUAACGGCGAGUGAAGCGGCAACAGCUCAAAUUUGAAAGCUGGCCCUUUUAGGGUCCGCAUUGUAAUUUGUAGAGGAUGAUUCGGCGAGGGCUCCUGCCUAAGUCCCCUGGAACGGGGCGUCAUAGAGGGUGAGAAUCCCGUAUGCGGUAGGUUGCCUUAGCCAUGUGAAUCUCCUUCGACGAGUCGAGUUGUUUGGGAAUGCAGCUCUAAAUGGGAGGUAAAUUUCUUCUAAAGCUAAAUACCGGCCAGAGACCGAUAGCGCACAAGUAGAGUGAUCGAAAGAUGAAAAGCACUUUGGAAAGAGAGUUAAAAAGUACGUGAAAUUGUUGAAAGGGAAGCGCUUGCAACCAGACUUGUCCGCAGUUGCUCAGCCGGUCUCCUGACCGGCGUACUCUUCUGCGGCCAGGCCAGCAUCAGUUCGGGCGGUCGGAUAAAGGCCUCGGGAA
rnacentral:rRNA from 1 species